rnacentral:rRNA from 3 species
GGACUACCGGGGUUUCUAAUCCCGUUCGCUCCCCUAGCUUUCGCGCCUCAGCGUCAGAAGAGGUCCAGCACGUCGCUUUCGCCACCGGCGUUCCUUCCGAUAUCAACGCAUUUCACCGCUCCACCGGAAGUUCCACAUGCCCCUACCUCCCUCCAGACUGUCAGUAUCCAAGGCUAUUUUCCGGUUGAGCCGAAAGAUUUCACCCCGGACUUGACAGCCCGCCUACGCGCCCUUUAAGCCCAGUGAUUCCGAACAACGUUUGCACGGUUCGUCUUACCGCGGCUGCUGGCAC